ACUGGAGUCAGAACACUGCCAGCAGGACAUGAGCUUUCUCCGGUUGAAACUUUAUUGCGGAUUUACGAUAAAAACAUCCUAAAGAUUGAUUCUAUACAUCAUUUGACAUGUUUCUACGAACUGUAAUGGACAUUUUUGAGUUUUCGUCUGACAUGCGCGUCCUGAAUUUGGAUUUGUUAACUGAAGGCGCGAACAAAAAGGAGGUAUUUGGACAUAAAGGAUGGACUUUAUAGAACAAAACAAACAUUUAUUGUGGACCUGGGAUUCCUGGGAGUGCAUUCUGAUGAAGAUCAUCAAAGCUCAAGUGAAAAAGAAUUAAGCCGAUGAACCAGGAAUUUGUUCAAUGGAAGAAAAAAGCAGAAUUCCUCCAGCCUCGAGUGAAGACCUGAAGGCAUUUCUGGAGCAGCAACUGGGCGAGAUGACUGCAGAAAAAAGAUGCACAAUUGAGAGCAUCCUGUCG
rnacentral:lncRNA from 1 species